UCCCUACGGGGCGCACCAGGCGCGAAACCUCUGCAAUAGGCGAAAGCUUGACAGGGUUACUCUGAGUGAUUUCCGUUAAGGAGAUCUUUUGGCACCUCUAAAAAUGGUGCAGAAUAAGGGGUGGGCAAGUCUGGUGUCAGCCGCCGCGGUAAUUCA
rnacentral:rRNA from 1 species